rnacentral:pre_miRNA from 1 species
UAAUGAUGAUAAUGAUGAUGAUGAUGAUGAUAACGAUGAUGAUGAUAUCAACGGUGGUGCUUGCUGGCAAUAACCCAUCCUAUAAUUAUUCAUAUUCAUCAUCAUAUCGUCUUUAUAAACAUAAUCGUCAUCAGCACUAUCAUCAUCAUCGUCGUCGUCGUCAUCAUCGUCAUCAUCU